rnacentral:tRNA from 1 species
GCCUGCAUAGCUCAGUUGGCAGAGCGUUUGAUUCGUAAUCAAAAGGUCGGGGGUUCAACUCCCUCUGCAGGCU